rnacentral:rRNA from 1 species
AAUCUGGGGCCCCCGGCCUCCGAGUUGUAAUUUGGAGAGGCUCCUUCGGGGGGGAGCGCUGGCCCAUGUUCCUUGGAACAGGACGUCGCAGAGGGUGAGAAUCCCGUGCCAGGCCGGCCGCCUCCUCCCACGUGAAGGGCCUUCGACGAGUCGAGUUGUUUGGGAAUGCAGCUCCAAGCGGGUGGUAAAUUUCAUCUAAAGCUAAAUACCGGCGGGAGACCGAUAGCGCACAAGUAGAGUGAUCGAAAGAUGAAAAGCACUUUGAAAAUAGAGUCAAAAAGUACGUGAAAUUGUUGAAAGGGAAGCGCUUGAGACCAGACUCAGACCCGGGCAAACACCGCGCCCCCAGGGGCCGUGCAAUUGCCCGGUGCUGGGCCAGCAUCAGUUGGCGUGGCGGGACAAGGGCGCGGGAAAUGUGGCUCCCCUCGGGGAGUGUUAUCAGGCCCGCGCCGGAUGCCGCCGACGCCGACUGAGGACCGCGCCUCGGCUAGGAUGCUGGCUUAAUGGCCUUCAGCGACCCGUCUUGAAACACGGACCAAGGAGUCUAACAUCUAUGCGAGUGUUUGGGCGCCAAACCCUUGCGCGGAAUGAAAGUGAGCGGAGGUGGGAACCCCUCACGGGGCGCACCAUCGACCGAUCCUGAUGUCUUCGGAUGGAUUUGAGUA